GUGUCAGCAGCCGCGGUAAUACGAAGGGGGCUAGCGUUGUUCGGAAUUACUGGGCGUAAAGGGCGCGUAGGCGGUACUUCAAGUCAGGCGUGAAAGCCCCGGGCUCAACCUGGGAACCGCGCUUGAGACUGGAGAACUAGAGUUCGGGAGAGGAUGGUGGAAUUCCCAGUGUAGAGGUGAAAUUCGUAGAUAUUGGGAAGAACACCGAUGGCGAAGGCAGCCAUCUGGACCGACGCUGACGCUGAGGCGCGAAAGCGUGGGGAGCAAACAGGAUUAGAAACCCGCGUAGUCC
rnacentral:rRNA from 1 species